UAAUACUUUGUAUUUGAAUUUUAAAAAGGAAUACAGUUUUUCACAAAACUUAUACCACCAUUCUUGAAUCCCCUCCAGUUUGCCCCCAUGUUGAAAUGAUGUGAAAAAUUGGGGGAGCAUUGGCCUUCAAGUUUGGAACCAAACCCUCUGGUCUUGAUAGCAAAGUUUCAGUCAAUGGAAAAAUUGAAGCAUCCAAUAAAGAAGAGCACUGAGGACCUGGAUUGCACAGAAAUGGAGGCUUGACUCACCCAUAAGGUGAAGAACAGCAUCCAGCCAAGGGGGACAGGGGAGAGGUGGCUGUCGCUGCUCUUUUCCCAGUGGGCCUCCGGGUGGUGAUGCCAGAUGGAAAAGAGGACUCGGAAUUCUCAUGAGCAGAGCUUCUAC